CAGCAGCCAGGUAAUACGUAGGGUGCAAGCGUUAAUCGGAAUUACUGGGCGUAAAGCGUGCGCAGGCGGUUAUAUAAGACAGAUGUGAAAUCCCCGGGCUCAACCUGGGAACUGCAUUUGUGACUGUAUAGCUAGAGUACGGCAGAGGGGGAUGGAAUUCCGCGUGUAGCAGUGAAAUGCGUAGAUAUGCGGAGGAACACCGAUGGCGAAGGCAAUCCCCUGGGCCUGUACUGACGCUCAUGCACGAAAGCGUGGGGAGCAAACAGGAUUAGAUACCCCCGUAGUCCCUGUCUCUUAUACA
rnacentral:rRNA from 1 species